CCUGCCCAAGAGACUGGGAUAACACCUGGAAACAGAUGCUAAUACCGGAUAACAACACUAGACGCAUGUCUAGAGUUUAAAAGAUGGUUCUGCUAUCACUCUUGGAUGGACCUGCGGUGCAUUAGCUAGUUGGUAAGGCAACGGCUUACCAAGGCAAUGAUGCAUAGCCGAGUUGAGAGACUGAUCAGCCACAUUGGGACUGAGACACGGUCCAAACUCCUACGGGAGGCAGCAGGA
rnacentral:rRNA from 1 species